UACGUAGGGGGCUAGCGUUGUCCGGAAUCAUUGGGCGUAAAGCGCGUGUAGGCGGCUCGGUAAGUCCGCUGUGAAAGUCGGGGGCUCAACCCUCGGAUGCCGGUGGAUACUGUCGGACUAGAGUACGGAAGAGGCGAGUGGAAUUCCUGGUGUAGCGGUGAAAUGCGCAGAUAUCAGGAGGAACACCGAUUGCGAAGGCAGCUCGCUGGGACGUUACUGACGCUGAGACGCGAAAGCGUGGGGAGCAAACAGG
rnacentral:rRNA from 1 species